rnacentral:rRNA from 1 species
AAGACUUAGUCCUAACCUUACCGUUAAUUCUUGCUAAAUAUAUACAUGCAAGUAUCCGCGUCCCAGUGUAAAUGCCCUUGAUUUCUUGUUAAGAAAAAAGGAGCGGGUAUCAGGCACACCCAAAGUGCAGCCCAAGACGCCUUGCUUAGCCACACCCCCACGGGUACUCAGCAGUAAUUAACAUUAAGCAAUGAGUGAAAACUUGACUUAGUUAUAGCAACUUUAGGGUUGGUAAAUCUUGUGCCAGCCACCGCGGUCACACAAGAGACCCAAAUUAACAGUAUGCGGCGUAAAGAGUGGUACUAUGAUAUCACAACAACUAAGACCAAAGCACAACUAAGCUGUCAUAAGCCCAAGAUGUGUCUAAGACCCUCCUCAAAAUGAUCUUAGCGCUUUUGAUUGAUUUUAGCCCACGAAAGCUAAGACACAAACUGGGAUUAGAUACCCCACUAUGCUUAGCCCUAAAUCUUGAUGUCUUUCCACUACCAAAGCAUCCGCCCGAGAACUACGAGCACAAACGCUUAAAACUCUAAGGACUUGGCGGUGCCCCAAAUCCACCUAGAGGAGCCUGUUCUAUAAUCGAUAACCCACGUUACACCCGACCUCCCCUUGCCUAAAGGCAGCCUACAUACCGCCGUCGCCAGCUCACCUCCCCUGAGAGAUCAAUAGUGAGCACAAUAGCCCAGAUCCGCUAACAAGACAGGUCGAGGUAUAGCCUACGGGGUGGAAGAAAUGGGCUACAUUUUCUAAAAUAGAAAACCCACGAAAGGGGAUGUGAAACCAUCCCCCGAAGGCGGAUUUAGUAGUAAAGCGGGAUCAUAUAAGCCCUCUUUAAAUCGGCCCUGGGGCACGUACAUACCGCCCGUCACCCUCCUCAUAAGCUAUAAGCCUACAAUCUCUAAUACAACCAUCAGCCGAAGAUGAGGUAAGUCGUAACAAGGUAAGUGUACCGGAAGGUGCACUUAGCAUAU